rnacentral:rRNA from 1 species
GCAAGCGUUAAUCGGAAUUACUGGGCGUAAAGCGAGCGUAGUCGGUUAUUUAAGUCGGAUGUGAAAUCCCCGGGCUCAACCUGGGAAUUGCAUUCGAUACUGGAUAGCUAGAGUUCGGCAGAGGGAAGCGGAAUUUCUGGUGUAGCGGUGAAAUGCGUAGAUAUCAGAAGGAACAUCAGUGGCGAAAGCGGCUUCCUGGACCAGAACUGACGAUCAGGCUCGAAAGCGUGGGGAGCAAACAGG